UCUUGGUCUUCAAUUCUCUUAUCAGAAUGCUAAUUCUGCCCCUCUAGUUAGAAUAUUAUUGGAUGCUGAGUGAAGAUGGAGGGAAAAUUAGAGAUGAUCAGUUACACUUCAGUUCUAUCAUCUGUUAACAUUGCACCACUCAUCCAAAGAGUGGAUGAUGGCCAGGUAUGAAGAGGAAAUGGAUCUCAUUUUUGAGUGGUGAAUCUGGCUGGUGAUUUUCCUGUGAGCAGUCCUGGGCACCAGUUCAAUCCUGGAACUCAGCCUGAAGGAGCUCCCUCAGACAGCUUCCUUGAGACGAUCACAUGGUGAGUGAUGAGACUGAUUUCCCUUUCCUUU
rnacentral:lncRNA from 1 species